rnacentral:rRNA from 1 species
GUAUCUGCUCAGGACGAACGCUGGCGGCGUGCUAAUACAUGCAAGUCGAGCGGACAGAUGGGAGCUUGCUCCCUGAUGUUAGCGGCGGACGGGUGAGUAACACGUGGGUAACCUGCCUGUAAGACUGGGAUAACUCCGGGAAACCGGGGCUAAUACCGGAUGGUUGUUUGAACCGCAUGGUUCAAACAUAAAAGGUGGCUUCGGCUACCACUUACAGAUGGACCCGCGGCGCAUUAGCUAGUUGGUGAGGUAACGGCUCACCAAGGCGACGAUGCGUAGCCGACCUGAGAGGGUGAUCGGCCACACUGGGACUGAGACACGGCCCAGACUCCUACGGGAGGCAGCAGUAGGGAAUCUUCCGCAAUGGACGAAAGUCUGACGGAGCAACGCCGCGUGAGUGAUGAAGGUUUUCGGAUCGUAAAGCUCUGUUGUUAGGGAAGAACAAGUACCGUUCGAAUAGGGCGGUACCUUGACGGUACCUAACCAGAAAGCCACGGCUAACUACGUGCCAGCAGCCGCGGUAAUACGUAGGUGGCAAGCGUUGUCCGGAAUUAUUGGGCGUAAAGGGCUCGCAGGCGGUUUCUUAAGUCUGAUGUGAAAGCCCCCGGCUCAACCGGGGAGGGUCAUUGGAAACUGGGGAACUUGAGUGCAGAAGAGGAGAGUGGAAUUCCACGUGUAGCGGUGAAAUGCGUAGAGAUGUGGAGGAACACCAGUGGCGAAGGCGACUCUCUGGUCUGUAACUGACGCUGAGGAGCGAAAGCGUGGGGAGCGAACAGGAUUAGAUACCCUGGUAGUCCACGCCGUAAACGAUGAGUGCUAAGUGUUAGGGGGUUUCCGCCCCUUAGUGCUGCAGCUAACGCAUAAGCACUCCGCCUGGGAGACCGCCU